CCUACGGGAGGCAGCAGUCGAGAAUCAUUCACAAUGGGGGAAACCCUGAUGGUGCGACGCCGCGUGGGGGAAUGAAGGUCUUCGGAUUGUAAACUCCUGUCAUGUGGGAGCAAAUUAAAAAGAUAGUACCACAAGAGGAAGAGACGGCUAACUCUGUGCCAGCAGCCGCGGUAAUACAGCGGUCUCAAGCGUUGUUCGGAAUCACUGGGCGUAAAGGGUGCGUAGGUUGUUUCGUAAGUCGUGUGUGAAAGGUGCGGGCUCAACCCGCGGACUGCACAUGAUACUGGGAGACUAGAGUAAGGGAGGGGGAACCGGAAUUCUCGGUGUAGCAGUGAAAUGCGUAGAUAUCGAGAGGAACACUCAUGGCGAAGGCGGGUUACUGGACAUUAACUGACGCUGAGGCACGAAGGCCAGGGGAGCGAAAGGGAUUAGAUACCCUGGUAGUC
rnacentral:rRNA from 1 species